rnacentral:rRNA from 1 species
GACGAACGCUGGCGGCGUGCUUAACACAUGCCAGUCGAACGGAAAGGCCCCUUUGGGGGUACUCGAGUGGCGAACGGGUGAGUAACACGUGAGUAACCUGCCCUUGACUUCGGGAUAACUUCAGGAAACUGGGGCUAAUACCGGAUAGGAAUCCUUGCUGCAUGGUGGGGGUUGGAAAGCUUCGGCGGUUUUGGAUGGACUCGCGGCUUAUCAGCUUGUUGGUGGGGUAGUGGCUUACCAAGGCUUUGACGGGUAGCCGGCCUGAGAGGGCGACCGGCCACGUUGGGACUGAGAUACGGCCCAGACUCCUACGGGAGGCAGCAGUGGGGAAUAUUGCACAAUGGGCGGAAGCCUGAUGCAGCAACGCCGCGGGCGGGAUGACGGCCUUCGGGUUGGAAACCGCUUUCAGCAGGGGCGAAGCUUGUGGUGACGGUACCUGCAGAAGAAGCACCGGCUAACUACGUG